rnacentral:rRNA from 1 species
AAUAGAUACCCCGGUAGUCCACGCCGUAAACGAUGUCGACUUGGAGGUUGUGCCCUUGAGGCGUGGCUUCCGGAGCUAACGCGUUAAGUCGACCGCCUGGGGAGGUACGGCCGCAAGGUUAAAACUACAAAUAGAAUUGACGGGGGCCCGGCACAAGCGGUGGAGCAUGUGGUUUAAUUCGAUGCAACGCGAAGAACCUUACCUACUCUUGACAUCCAGAGAACUUGCCAGAGAUGGCUUGGUGCCUUCGGGAACUCUGAGACAGGUGCUGCAUGGCUAUCGUCAGCUCGUGUUGUGAAAUGUUGGGUUAAGUCCCGCAACGAGCGCAACCCUUAUCCUUUGUUGCCAGCGGUUAGGCCGGGAACUCAAAGGAGACUGCCAGUGAUAAACUGGAGGAAGGUGGGGAUGACGUCAAGUCAUCAUGGCCCCUUAGAGUAGGGCUACACACGUGCUACAAUGGCGCAUACAAAAGAGAAGCGACCUCGCGAGAGCAAGCGGACCUNAUAAAGUGCGUCGUAGUCCGGA